rnacentral:misc_RNA from 1 species
GAGGUCCCUGAUAUUGACUGGUGAUUUCUUCUUGGGCUCAGUUGUGGCUUGCACACUAACCAAGUUGGUUCUACGGUUGGAAGAGGUCCAGCCACUAAAAUCUGAAGUGAACAAAGCUAGCACAGGGGUGUUACUGAUCAUGGUGUCUAUGCUGCAGUUAGGGCAGUCCUCAUUCCUCCCUCAUCCUAUUGAUAAUGAUUCGUAUGAUAGGAU